rnacentral:lncRNA from 1 species
UCUCUGUGGUAAGGCCGGCCACUCACCAGGUCAAAGUGCAGCCAUCAAGGCUAAAAUAUAUGCAAUUCCACCCAGGCUCACUCAUUAGAAGGUGAAUUUAUUUUGAUAGUUGGGACCAUUCCCAAAUAAACAACAAAUAAAACCUCAGCCUUACAGGACAAGCUAAGUAGAUGACGCUGGAAAAUACCAUUUUUCCACAACAAACAGUCUACUAACAACCAACUGCAGUAACAAUCUUGUCUAGACGCCUGCUUCAUGUACUCAAUUAUAAUUUUUUUGAGAUGGGGAAAAUCUGAAUUAAGAUUAAAAUGUGAAAUUAGCACUCAUUUUUAAGGCACGGGAAUGGCAUUCUUGUCAUAUAAGAUAGCGUUAGUGUUUUAAUAGUCUCCUAAUUAAAUAUUUAUAUUGAAGAGGACUGGAAUAACAUGACAGAGUCACUAGGAUUUGUGUUAAAAGAGAAAAAAAGGCAAAAAGAAGGAUAGCUGGAACAAGAGGCUGAGAAUCACAGUUGUUGAAUCCAGCCCAGGAAUAUAGGCAGCUAGCUAUACUAUUCUCUCCAUUGAAAGCAUGCGUGGAACAAUUAAAAAACAGUUCCGCCGAAAUAAAACUAGUUUCUUACCAUUUGCAGUUCCUGAAACAUCUCUAGGUGGAAAGCUCUCAUCUCUUGUUAAUUCUUCCUUCAAGCUAAUGCAUAGGAGACAGCCUCCAUCUGUGUACCACGGAUACAUCACCUGCUCUUUCUGACAUAUUACAGCUGCAUCAGGAAAGUGAUGGGUGUGUCUAAAGUGUGUCCUCUGUACUCAUGUUAAAGACCCAACCUUAGUGCCUCAGAAAGUGUAUCUGUAAAAAUAUAACUAAGGUGAAAGGACCUUAUGUGGGCAGCUAUGGAGCUUUGUGUUUGGGGAUAUAGAGUUUUCUGGGAAGGUGAUUAGGUUAGAUUGAGACAGUGGGUAGACAUUAGCAUAGUUGGUGUCUUUGUGAUAAAGAGAAACACCAAGGCACAAAGACAGCAACCAUAGAGACAGCUAGAGGUGACUAUCCACUGGCCAGGCACUGAGGCUUCAAAGGGGACCAGUCCCACUGGCACCUUGAUCAUGAACUUCAGCCUUCAAAGCAGAAAGAUGGAAGUUUGUAUGUUUGAACCUUUAGCCUGUGGCCCAGGCAUACUGGUCCAGGAUGGGAUGGAGGUGGGGGCCUGCAUUCAUUAGCUGCUGGAGGGCACCCCAGGCUGCUCUCCCUUUUCCCAACAAGAACUUCACUCCUUGCUAGGAUCUCCCCUCCUGUUCUCUUUGUUUCCAGAGUACAGGAGUGAAACCAUGGCUCUGGUUGUCUUGCAUCAGCCAAAUUGCUGCCUGAACCCCGGAUUGUAACUUCUCCUUCCAGAACUUACCAUAUCUCGUUCACACACAAAUUACCCCUGGGAGAUUAUAGAAAUUUAAAAAUAAAUAAAUAAACUUCUUGAGGGAUUACAAUACAAUAGUAGCCUAUAAUUCUUCUUUCAUUGCUACUGAAAGAGAAAUGGUGCCCAAUAAGUAAAGCCUUUAUUAUAUCUUAGAAGAAAGAAAGCUCUUAUUUCUGGUUCAGAGAUUCAACAUCAUGGCAUUUAUAAUUAUAUUCUGGAGUCAACAUUGUUAAAAAUUUGGGCUUUCAUGCUAAAAAGUGAUUUUUUAAAAAAAAAAUAUAUAAUUACCUACUAAUUCUUCCCAAAUGGUAUGACUUGCCUUUUUUCUCUCUUUUUUUGAAUCAUAACUCAUCUUAAACAAUCUAUUUUUUUUUCUUUUUAGAGGAAGUCUAAAAUAACACAUGGGUGUCUCGGCCUUGGCACAGCUAAACCCUGGAACAUUGAACUGAAGUCAUAACAAUGGGUAAUAUUUUAAUAUAAUGAAAAAUUAUCAUUAACUUUUCUCGACAGGAAGGAAAUGAAUUUUCCUCAUUGUACACAUUCCGAGAAAAAUGAGGCUAAGACUAUUUCAAAGGAUGUUCUACCUAAUUCGAAUGGGCUUUAAGUGCCAUCUUCACAAUAGCGCCAGAGUCUGGUGUCAGCAAACUGAACAAAUAGAGCUACAGGGAGCGAAUGGGGCUGGGUGCCUCUCCAAAACAUAUGCAGAUGAACUUGAGAUUUCAGAGGACGGUUAAUCCUACACAGCAGUCAAGUGCCUUCCCAGGGGUAUGUCUCAGAUCUCAGAGCAUCCUGGCAGGCAUCCACUGUGCCAUAUGCUUUCGGGAAGUCUGGAUGCUGAAUGUGGUGGCUGUGGGGAAUUGAGCCUUAUUGCUUCAUAAGAUUCCUGGUGGUAGAACUAUUCUGAACAAGAACACGUCCGUCCCCAUAGGUGUGCUCCAAGAAUCACAGAAUAAGAAGGGACUUCGGAGAGAGCCUCACACAGUUGGGCAAUGGGAGCCCAGAGAGGCAAGGAAGGCUCCUUGCCCAAAGUCUUGUACAUCUGAAUCUGCAACUCCUGACUAUUUUUGAGUCUUAUGCUCCAGGCUAAAACUUGUGACUUUAAGUGUGAUGUUCUCGGUGAUGAUUAAUCUAGGAUGUUUCUGUUGUUUUCUUACCGUCAAAGAAUUAACAUCAAAAGGAAAGGAAGGAAGAAAUGUAGAAGUGAAGGCAAGAAGGAAGGAAGGAGGAAAGGAAGGAAGGAAAAUAUAGGCUUUGGGUAAAAAUAAGUUUCUACUCAACACUGACAAAGGUACAGGUUUUGGACAUUGGUUUCCUAAUCUGUAAAUGAGGAAUAGUCAUCACAUCGCUGUCCUGGCUGGUUUUGUGUGUCAACUUGACACAAGCUGGAGUUAUCACAGAGAAAGGAAAGAAAAUGCCUCCAUGAGAUCUAGCUGUAAAUGGAUUAGUGAUCAAGAGUGGGAGGGCCCAGUGUGGGUGGUGCCAUCCCUGGACUGGUGGUCCUGGGUUCUACAAGAAAACAAGCUGAGCAAGCCAGGGGAAGCAAGCCAGGGGAACAUCCCUCCACGGCUCUGCAUCAGCUCCUGCUUCCUGCCCUGUGUGAGUUCCAGUCCUGACUUCCUUUGGUGACGAACAGCAAUGUGAUAGUAUAAGCUGAAUAAACCCUUUCCUCCCCAAC